GCCACCGUAGCUCAGCGGUAGAGCGGCGGUUUCGUAAACCGCAGGCCGGGGGUUCGACCCCCUCCGGUGGCU
rnacentral:tRNA from 1 species